rnacentral:rRNA from 1 species
UACGUAGGUGGCAAGCGUUGUCCGGAAUUAUUGGGCGUAAAGCGCGCGCAGGCGGUCCUUUAAGUCUGAUGUGAAAGCCCACGGCUCAACCGUGGAGGGUCAUUGGAAACUGGGGGACUUGAGUGCAGAAGAGGAAAGCGGAAUUCCACGUGUAGCGGUGAAAUGCGUAGAGAUGUGGAGGAACACCAGUGGCGAAGGCGGCCUGCUGGGCUGUUGCUGACGCUGAGGCGCGACAGCGUGGGGAGCAAACAGG